UACGGGGGGGAGCAAGCGUUGUUCGGAUUUACUGGGCGUAAAGGGCUCGUAGGCGGCCAACUAAGUCAGACGUGAAAUCCCUCAGCUUAACUGGGGAACUGCGUCUGAUACUGGAUGGCUUGGAUUCGGGAGAGGAAUGCGGAAUUCCAGGUGUAGCGGUGAAAUGCGUAGAUAUCGGGAGGAACACCUAUGGCGAAAGCAGGUACCUGGGCCUUUACUGACGCUGAGACUCGAAAGCUAGGGGAGCAAACAGG
rnacentral:rRNA from 1 species